UACAGAGGUCUCAAGCGUUGUUCGGAUUCAUUGGGCGUAAAGGGUGCGUAGGUGGCGCUGUAAGUCGGGUGUGAAAUCUCGGAGCUUAACUCCGAAACUGCAUUCGAUACUGCCGUGCUUGAGGACUGGAGAGGAGACUGGAAUUUACGGUGUAGCGGUGAAAUGCGUAGAUAUCGUAAGGAAGACCAGUGGCGAAGGCGGGUCUCUGGACGGUACUGACGCUGAGACGCGAAAGCGUGGGGAGCGAACAGG
rnacentral:rRNA from 1 species